UCAAGAUGAGAUUUCCCAGUAUGUAAGACCCCUGGAAGAACACCAGGUUGAUAGGCCCGGGGUGGAAGCGCGGCAACGCGUGCAGCUGACGGGUACUAAUCGGUCGAGGGCUUAUCCUAC
rnacentral:rRNA from 1 species